rnacentral:rRNA from 1 species
GCCUUGCCAGCCCGCUCAGAAACUCAAAGGAAUUGAGGGGCCCGCACAAGCAGCGGAGCAUGUGGUUUUAAUUCGAAGCAACGCGAAGAACCUUACCAAGACUUGACAUCCCCUGACAGCUGUUGAAAGGCAGUGUCUCUUCGGAGCAGGGAGACAGGUGGUGCAUGGUUGUCGUCAGCUCGUGUCGUGAGAUGUUGGGUUAAGUCCCGCAACGAGCGCAACCCUUAUCCUUAGUUACCAGCACGUAAAGGUGGGGACUCUAGGGAGACCGCCGGGGACGACUCGGAGGAAGGUGGGGACGACGUCAAAUCAUCAUGCCCCUUAUGUCUUGGGCUACACACGUGCUACAAUGGCCGCAACAGAGGGAAGCGAGAGCGCAAGCUGGAGCAAAACCCUAAAAAGCGGUCCCAGUUCGGAUUGUGGGCUGCAACCCGCCCACAUGAAGUCGGAGUUGCUAGUAAUCGCGAAUCAGCAUGUCGCGGUGAAUGCGUUCCCGGGCCUU